AGCGCCAGCACCAAGACACGAGGGAAAAACCUCAGUUAGGGUGGGAAAUGCGCAAGAUGUAAUCCCGCUCCCCAAACUGGAGCCGGGACGGAACAGAGGGCAAAGUCCGAGGGAAUUCCCGGCCUUUCGCCGGGGCUAAUGGAAUGAGUCAUCGACAGAGUGGAUUAUUUAAAGCACCAUGAGCUGGGCAUAUCAAAGCUUUUGACAAGACUCGGGAAUGAUAGCGCUGCCCAUCGCUGCUGGUUUGAGCAGAAGGUUGCAGUUAUGCCCCCCUCACCUUCUAAGGGCUCCAGCGCUGUGCAGCUCUGGCUGAGAAUGGGGCCUUCCCCCCUGUUCCCAGCAGUGCCCUUCCGCCCUCAGCCUGCUGCACGGUUCUCCUUGCCGUUUAGAUCAGGAGGAAAAUUAAGCUGUGAACUGGAAUUCCAUCAGGCUGUCUACUGUGAAGCCCUGUGGCUUUAGCAAAGGGGCAACAGUGGUCAGAAAUGACACUCAAAAGAGAACAGACAUUCCCAGAUUUGCUGGGUACACUGCCAGGCUGGUGCUUCCUUUUACCUCCCUGGGGCUGUAUUCUGUAGUUCAGGGAAAGAAUUGUUUUUUGGACCUAAAAAUGCAAGUAUAUGCUUGUUUUCUUCAUAUAGGUAUAAGACAGUCCUUUGUCUCUUGCGUGCAUAUAUGUGCAACUUCAAUAACUUGCUGAUCCUGUCACUGUUUACACAACUUGCUCUCUGCAUGCGUCUGACCAGCUGUGGUUUAUACACGGACAUGUUAGAUUUUGUGCACAGUGUCUGAAGAUAUCAAAUUAGUCUGCAAAGAUCCUCCAACCUUUUCAUUUUUCUGUUAGAUUAAAGGUUUGCCUUGCUAUAUUUGGUGUGGAUUUCUCCUUCCCUCUUUGCUGCACAGUGUUAUGUUCCGCUCAUCCAUAUCUCCUGUGUUUCUGCCCUAAAGAAGGCGGAAUUUCAACAGGAAAAAAAAAAGGAAAAAGAAGGAUUCUAUUGUGCUCUGUAUAGCUUGAAAAACACCCUGUGGGAUGAAUUGUGCAAUUUUAAUAUUCAUUAUCUCAAAUGUAGACAACAGAGUAGACUGUAGUAGGAAAGACUGAUUAGCAGAUCACUGACUAUAGUUUUUUCAACUCAGGACAUUAUUUGGUGAUAAGUGAGUAAAACAGUUUCUUGAGACCUGAAUCUUUGGUGUUCUAAAAUGCAAUGUAACGGCUGUGUGGGAGCCAUCCUUCAGUAAACACAUACACGGGAGCUCACGAGCCAUGCAUGGACAGAACUGACUUCCUUUGUAAGCCUUAGGCCUUACUGCUUAGAAGCUGAGACCAGGAGAUUUCUGUUGCUCUCUCCAGCUCUAAAUGAAAGACCGGUUCAGAAGGAAGUGCAGGAGGGGAGCAUGCAAUCAGUCCAUAAAGUGAAUGGUAAUGUUUUAAUUACAAUUCUAUUGUUAUUCUUCCUAUAUGGCUGUUCGGGGUUGUGUAGUUUGCAUAUUCAUUCCUUUCAUUCUCACAGAGGUUUUGUUGUCGGGUUUUUUUGUUUGGAAAAAGUUUGACUCCAAAAAGAGGCCAAAGUUUUCAUUAACAGGCUAUGAGGGAAAGAAAGAAGAAAGGGCUGUUUUCUCUAUAUCCAAAGAUUUCUGCAGAGUAAGGAUACAAGGAUAAUUCUGAAGAAAUAGAGAUAAAAAGAUUUAUUUUUUUUUUUUUUAGACAAGAGACAAGUGCAAGUCAAAUUGUACGUGGCAGCAAGAUUUGGGAGCAUAAUGAAAUUUAGACAAGCAAAAAACUCCUCUAACCCUCACCAAAUGCAAUCAAAAUGAACUGAUAAUUUUUGUAAAGCUGCAGUACUUGCAAGUUCCUUUUUUCAUGUGAACUUUUCCAUUGUUAAAAACUUCAGCACUACAUACUGGGUUAAUUCCUUUCCCAUAGAAUACAUGUAUUCACAAUAUUUUUUCUUUUUUUCUUUCUUAAAAAAAAAUAAAAUUAGCAAAUAAUGUGGAAUUCAUAGCAGACUUCCAGCUCCUGCGGAAGAGUGAAGAUGCUUUUGCUUUGCAUAACCUUUGCAUAUAAGGAAGCCAUUGUGUCAGUCUACUUUAGCUCCUUCAAGGAGCCAUCUCGCUCCUGACAAGUGGAUUAGCUCUCCGAGGGGCUGCGGCUCCCUCCCGCUCAGGGACCGCAUCCAUCACCCCUCACGCGCACACCCGCUGCGGCCCCCACUCAGCCUAGCACUGGCUCCACCUCACAUCUGGACUUCUGAAAUCUCAGCACCGAUAGUCCCUAAGUGGGAUAAAUUUAGUUUUUUACACGUGCCCUAUGAUCUUUUAUUUCUCUCUUC